UACGUAGGGGGCAAGUGUCCGGAAUCAUUGGGCGUAAAGCGCGUGUAGGCGGCUUGGUAAGUCUGCUCUGAAAGCCCGGGGCUCAACCCCGGGAGGCGGGUGGAUACUGUCAAGCUCGAGUCCGGAAGAGGAGUGUGGAAUUCCUGGUGUAGCGGUGAAAUGCGCAGAUAUCAGGAGGAACACCAAUGGCGAAGGCAGCACUCUGG
rnacentral:rRNA from 1 species